rnacentral:rRNA from 1 species
AGACAACCCUCAACAACGGAUAACUUGGCUCGUGCAACGAUGAAGAACGCAGCGAAAUGCGAUACGUAGUGUGAAUUGCAGACUCACGUGAACCAUCGAAUCUUUGAACGCACAUUGCGCUCGAGCCUUCGGGCGAGAGCACUUCUGCCUGAGCGACGGUU